UUGCGUCUGGGGUGCUCGUCAGGUCCUCGCAGUCAUUGAGCCUACAAGCAUCGGACGGGAUUCCGUCGUCGGGCGCCGCCCGGCAGGCCCCCUUCCGAUCAUCUGACGAUGAGCCUUCGGGUUCGCCAAACAGAUGCGGGGGGUGAGGGAAGCCCAGUGUGGCAUUCGCGGGAAUCCCACCUGGACAUCGCGGUUCAAUACUCGAUUUCCUACGGCACCCUGGACUUUUU
rnacentral:other from 2 species